CCAAACGGGUGAUACAACAAUUCAAAGCACAAUUACUAUUUCAGCAACAUGGAUCAACAAUUGGGUAUAUUUGGUGCUAAUGAGGUAAAUCAAGUAGUAGAAAAGAGUGAAAAAUAUACUAUUAAAUCAGUAGGCAUACCUGGAAACUUUCAGAAGCAAAAUGUUCCUUUACUAAUCAUUCCCAUUCAUUUUUGUCUACUCCCCUUGGAAUAUUCCCAAGAGACUGUUGAAUAAGCUUAUCCUUCACAUAUUUUGCAUGCAAGUGUCCUCUCCAUUUGUUCCAUAACUCAUUCAUCCAUCUCAAGAUAUGAUCACGAUGAUCAUUCAUGUCAACACUCUCAAAUUUAUGC
rnacentral:lncRNA from 1 species